UGACGGUGUAUAACUCCCGCUUCAGUUUUGAGGUGUGAGGCCUGAAGGAGUUGCUUUCUUGGGGAAGAAAACACAUGCACAAAUCCUGGUGUAAGGAAUAUUUUAAGCAUAUAUCUUCAAUAUCAUUCAUCCAGGACCGAGCAAGACCAACACUCUUCCUCCUCCUCUGCCUACUCAAUGUGAAGACAAUGAGGAUGAACACCUUUAUGAUGCUCCACUUCCACUUAUUGAAUAGUGCUACACAUGAAACUUGUAACCAGUUACUACAGGCGAAAGCAAAUCCAUGUCUUCAGGCUGGUGUCAUCAGGGAGAGAAGCUUUGGUUUCCACAUAAGGAUAUAAGAUCAUUGAUGUAAAACAAGACAUGUAACCUCUCAAAUUGAGAGAAUGGAUUGGAGAGAUAUUGUUGACCAUGUUUUCCCCUGUAUCUCACCUUCCCCUCUCCAAGACUUCCUUGUCAGUUACCCAUAUUGAUAUCAGUUUAUCCACAUCCAUGCUUUCAAGUUUAAACAAAGAAACUAGGCAAAGGCAGCUAUGUAUUCGCUAGGAUUAGGGAGGAGAAGAUAAUGAACCACUGGAUAGUGAGAAGAAAGAGAGGUGGAGAAAGUGAGAGACCCCAGUAACAGAGGACAGGGACACAUUGCUAAGGAUAGGGACACAUUCACUGUAAUAUAGAAGGCCAUGCUUAUAUGUAAAAUAUGCAGUAAUUGUAUAUAUAUGUACAAAAGUGAUGACACACAUAUGCACAUAAACAAAACACAAUUACUGUCUAUGUUUCUUUAUUUGUGACCUAAUGUUUUAUGUUGUUUGUAACUGAAAAAAAAAUUCCCUUCUGAAUAAAAUGUCAAUUUUGCGAUUGCA
rnacentral:lncRNA from 1 species